rnacentral:rRNA from 1 species
UACGUAGGGGGCAAGCGUUGUCCGGAAUCAUUGGACGUAAAGCGCGCGUAGGCGGCCCGGUCAGUCCGUUGUGAAAGUCAAAGGCUCAACCUUUGAAUGCCGACGGAUACUGCCGGGCUAGAGUCCGGAAGAGGCGAGUGGAAUUCCUGGUGUAGCGGUGAAAUGCGCAGAUAUCAGGAGGAACACCUAUGGCGAAGGCAGCUCGCUGGGACGGUACUGACGCUGAGGCGCGAAAGCGUGGGGAGCGAACAGG